rnacentral:rRNA from 1 species
UGGGGAAUAUUGGACAAUGGGCGCAAGCCUGAUCCAGCCAUGCCGCGUGAGUGAUGAAGGCCCUAGGGUUGUAAAGCUCUUUCACCGGUGAAGAUAAUGACGGUAACCGGAGAAGAAGCCCCGGCUAACUUCGUGCCAGCAGCCGCGGUAAUACGAAGGGGGCUAGCGUUGUUCGGAUUUACUGGGCGUAAAGCGUACGUAGGCGGACUUUUAAGUCAGGGGUGAAAUCCCGGGGCUCAACCCCGGAACUGCCUUUGAUACUGGAAGUCUUGAGUAUGGUAGAGGUGAGUGGAAUUCCGAGUGUAGAGGUGAAAUUCGUAGAUAUUCGGAGGAACACCAGUGGCGAAGGCGGCUCACUGGACCAUUACUGACGCUGAGGUGCGAAAGCGUGGGGAGCAAACAGG